rnacentral:rRNA from 1 species
UACGUAGGGGGCAAGCGUUGUCCGGAAUCAUUGGGCGUAAAGAGCGUGUAGGCGGCUUGGUAAGUCCGCUGUGAAAGUCCAGGGCUCAACCCUGGAAUGCCGGUGGAAACUGUCAAGCUUGAGUCCGGAAGAGGCGAGUGGAAUUCCUGGUGUAGCGGUGAAAUGCGCAGAUAUCAGGAGGAACACCAAUGGCGAAAGCAGCUCGCUGGGACGGUACUGACGCUGAGACGCGAAAGCGUGGGGAGCAAACAGG